GUCCAUAGCUGUAAACGAUGGAUGCUAGGUGUCGCGGGCUUUGACCCUCGCGGUGCCGUAAGUUAACGCGUUAAGCAUCCCGCCUGGGGAGUACGGCCGCAAGGCUAAAACUCAAAGGAAUUGACGGGGGUCCGCACAGGCGGUGGAGCAUGUGGUUUAAUUCGAUGCAACGCGAAGAACCUUACCUACCCUUGACAUACCACGAAUCAUUUAGAGAUAGAUGAGUGCCUUCGGGAGCGUGGAUACAGGUGCUGCAUGGCU
rnacentral:rRNA from 1 species